rnacentral:rRNA from 1 species
AUGAAUUGACUAGUUUGGAACUGUCGAGGGGAGGCGAACCCUCGAACAGUUCGUGAUUUGCAGGCUCUAUGUAGAGUCAAUUCCCCGAGGAUGGUGUUCUUGUGUGAAACUAGGCAGCAAAAGAAUAAAAUGAGUAGACUUCGUAAUCGGUUAGGGCUUCGUGGUUUUGAUGGCAUUAGUAGUCAGGGAAAAAGUGGUGGUUUAGCUUUGUAUUGGGAUGAAUCUUUGUACGUCAGUGUUCAAGAUAUUAAUGAGAGAUGGAUUGAUGCGUAUGUCCGAGUGUCACCCUCUGAUCCUCUUUGGCGAGUUACCUUCGUAUAA